AGCCUCUAUUCUGACCCACAGGCUUGUGACAUUCCAGCCUCUACAACCACAUUGAAGAAAUAUGGAUACCAUCACUAAACUAGGCACUACUUUUGCCAGCUUUGUCAUCUGUCAGCUUCUUUUCCACUUUGUGAGUUCUUGGUUUUCAGCAAAAGUUUUUCCACGUUUUAAUAGUCUCAGCUUGGAAGUGAAGAUUGCAUGGAAUUUAAGGGUGGUAUCCACAUGCCAUUAUUUAGUGAUUGCAGUCUUUUGCCUAUAUAUUUUAUUAUCUGAUGGAGCUCAUAUAGCUGAUCCACUUGGGUUUGAUCCAUCACUUGUGAAUGUGCAUAUUGCUAUUACUACAGGCUACCUCAUUUCUGAUUUGUUGCUUCAUAUUUUCUGUUGGAGAAUGAUUGGUGAGAUUGUUUAUGUAAUUUACCGUUGCGCAGUCCUGUAUAUAUUCUGCCUUCUCCUGUUUUUUUUCCAGAAUGAAGCAACACUGGCAUACGUUGGGAAUUUUCGUCUGAUAACAGAGCUUGACAUCCCAUUUUGGAAUCAGCAAGUAACCUCAUCCGGAAUGCUUUCCUCAGAGUGCAAUCAGAGUAGUAUUUCUCAUGUUCCACUAUGGUUCUUUGAAACUCUGAUGUAUUCUCAGUCUUCUGAAGUUUUCAUCAUCAAUGCAGUACUCCUGACAGUGAUGUUUUUCCUUGGUCGGAUUGCUGUGAUACCUGCUUUUUAUUACUGCAUGUAUUAUGUGUAUGGAAAUGUAGUCUACACUGGGCUUGAAUUGCUAAUCCCAUGUUCCUUGGCCAGUGGUUUGGUUGUUUUACAGAUUGAAGAAAUAUGGAUACCAUCACUAAAAAACGAGGCUCUGUUUUUGCCAGCUUUGUCAUCUGUCACCUUCUUUUCCACUUUGGUGGUAUCCACAUGCCAUUCUUUAGUGGUUGGAGUUUUUUGCCUAUAUAUUUUAUUAUCUGAUGGAGCUCUUAUAGCUGAUCCACUUGGGUUUGAUCCAUCACUUGUGAAUGUGAAUAUUGCUAUUACUGCAGGCUACGUCAUUUCUGGGGCACAUCGCUAGAAAGCCCUGCUUAUCUGCUUCUUCAGAGAUUACAGCCAAGAAAACCCUUUGGAGCUUGGUUCUACCCUGUAACACACCACGUCACCAUGAGUUGGAAUUGACUUGAUGGCAACAGGUUUUUGGUUUGGUGCUAGAUUCUUUUUUUUUCCAGAAUGGAGCAAUACUGGCAUACAUUUGGAAUUUUCGUCUGAUAAGACAGCUUGCCUGUUUAUGAAUCAGUGAUUGAAGAAAUAUGGAUACCAUCACU